ACAGAACAGCAGCAGCGGGACAGAACAGCAGCAGAGGGACAGACCAGCAGCAGGACAGCAGCAGCGGGACAGAGCAGCAGCAGAACAGCAGCAGGGGGACAGAACAGCAGCAGGGGGACAGAACAGCAGCAGGGGGACAGAACAGCAGCAGAGGGACAGAACAGCAGCAGGACAGCAGCAGUGUGUGUCCCCAGCCUGCCUACUGCACUCUGUUCACAUGAUGCUUUACUCCUCAACAACUCAUUUAUGGUUUUCUAAUUAGAACGUCUGUUAAUUGCCUCGUUAAGUGAUUUCAUUGGGCCACAAGAUUUUAAAAAACAUGAAUAUUAGCUUUCUUGAUUAUUUUGGAUGUGUAAUUCUGUCCAUUAUCAAAAUGAGGAGAUCUACAAAACAAACUAGUCAUUUCUAAUGAGAUGUAAUGUAAUCAUCUAAUGGUCCUUCAUUAGUUGGGCAGAAGAAAGAAUAAACGAAAACUCCUAAUGAAGAUAGUAAGGAAAUGGCACCCUAUUCCUUAUAUAGUGCACUACUUUAGACCAGAGUUCUAUGAGCCUGCACUCUCUACUGGUCUUUCUGUGAUUCCUUGCAUCCUUCUGAGCAGUAUGAAAAGGUCCAAGGUCACUUCCCUCGUAACUUCUUCUCCAAUGGGUUUUGAGAAGGGGGUGAGGAGAGAGGAUGUGAGGAAUCAAGGAAAGAUGACUCGAGAAAGAGGGUGUGUAGCAGAUUCAGCUGAACAGAUACUCUGUAGCCUGUAAUUUUCCUCCAGGUGUUUUCUAGAACCAAAGGGUCAACCUCUGCUUGAGCUGCUCAUCAAUUAAUCAACUCCUUUUUUUUCCCCGUGCCUAAGUAUGAAGCAUGCCAGUCAGACCAUUCUGUAUCGGUCUACCUUCAAAGUAGAGGCCAAAGGGAAGAGAGCGCAGAGAGUACUUCUAACAGAACAAAGGCUGAACCAAUCAUGAUUGAUUUGUGUGUGUGUGUGUGUGUGUGUGUGUGUGUGUGUGUGUGUUUUGAAAACCCCUUCAGGAAAACACUCUGUUGCCUUUAUUUUCAACU
rnacentral:lncRNA from 13 species